GUCCAGACUCCUACGGGAGGCAGCAGUAGGGAAUUUUGCGCAAUGGGCGAAAGCCUGACGCAGCAACGCCGCGUGAUCGAGACGCCCUUCGGGGUGUAAAGAUCUUUCAGUGGGGACGAAACUUGACGGUACCCACAGAGGAAGCACCGGCUAACUCCGUGCCAGCAGCCGCGGUAAUACGGGGGGUGCAAGCGUUGUCCGGAAUCAUUGGGCGUAAAGAGUUCGUAGGCGGCAAGGUAAGUCUGAUGUUAAAGCCCGGGGCUCAACUCCGGUUCGGCAUUGGAUACUAUCUAGCUAGAAUGUGGGAGAGGUAAAGGGAAUUCCUGGUGUAGCGGUGAAAUGCGUAGAUAUCAGGAGGAACAUCGGUGGCGAAAGCGCUUUACUGGACCAUUAUUGACGCUGAGGAACGAAAGCCAGGGGAGCAAAUGGGAUUAGAUACCCCUGUA
rnacentral:rRNA from 1 species